GGCUCGGUAGCGGAGGGUCCGUGUCUGCCUCAAAUAUGGGCCGAGAAUUCAAUGCUGAGUAUGCAGAUCCCGCCUGUUCGAUUCAGGCCCGAGUCA